CAACUUUCAGCAACGGAUCUCUUGGCUCUCGCAUCGAUGAAGAACGCAGCGAAAUGCGAUAAGUAAUGUGAAUUGCGGAAUUCAGUGAAUCAUCGAAUCUUUGAACGCACCUUGCGCUCCUUGGUAUUCCGAGGAGCAUGCCUGUUUGAGUGUCAUUA
rnacentral:rRNA from 2 species